AAGAAUUUAAGUUAAUAAAACUUUUGACCUUCAAAGUCAAAUAUAAAAAUAAAUUUUUAAUUCUUA
rnacentral:tRNA from 1 species